rnacentral:rRNA from 1 species
GAUGAACGCUGGCGGCGUGCUUAACACAUGCAAGUUGAACGAAGUGGCGGAUGGGCGAGUAACACGUGAGGAACCAGCCUUUCACAGGGGAAUAACACUGGGAAACCAGUGCUAAUACCGCAUAGCGAAUAAUGGCCUCGCGCCUGAUUAGCUAGUAGGUGAGGUAACGGCUCACCUAGGUGAUGAUCAGUAGCCGGACUGAAGGUUGAUCGGCCGCAUUGGGACGGAGACACGGCCCAGACUCCUACGGGAGGCAGCAGUGGGGAAUAUUGGGCAAUGGCGCAAGCCUGACCCAGCAACGCCGCGUGAAGGAAGACGGUCUUCGGAUUGUAAACUUCUUUAGACAGGGACGCGUUACCCGCAGAAGAAGCACCGGCUAACUCCGUGCCAGCAGCCGCGGUAAUUC